UCAGCUACUUGUAACUGUAAUAGGUCAACUGUCAAUUACAUGUAACUGUAAAGUCAACUACAUGUAACCUUUAGGUCGACUAUGUUUAUGUAACAGUUUGGUCGUUAAGCGCGCAGACCAGGAGAAAUGUUAACAUGUGAAAAGUUUACGUGUGUACUUUUAAAACACAUGUAACGUUAGAAUCCUAUUUUUGUUAUUGACGUUAUGAUAAUUAUUUUAAAGAUUUAUCAUUAUCAGUGUAUCUUAAUUUCAGAUACCAUUCAUUUCAUAUACUAGUAUAUAGAAUUGUUUCGGUAAUCUUUUGAUUUUGUUUUGUAGGUAGUUUGCAUGAACAUGAUAUAUACAUAUAUUUUUUUUAAUGGCGUAGUAUAAUAGCUGGUUAUUGCAGGAUUUAAACCAGAUCGUUCAUCCGAAUUUUUUCAGACCGCGAUUUGCAGACCUGCUGCUAUAAAUAAAGGAUAUUCUCAAUUAACUUAAAAGGGGGGGGGGGGGAUGAUUCGGUCUCGCAUUAACUCCAUCACGUAGUUUCCUGUGUAUGAUUCCUUAAUUCUAAAAUUAAAAUCUUUUAAAAAGAACCCCCAUAUUACAUUGGAAUAAAUAAUAUAAUGAAAUUUAUAAAUAAAAAUCUUUAAAGUGUUACUUUUUUUUAAAGAAUAACGAGCUAGAGUUUUGUGGUAGGGUGAGUGUGAGAUAAAUUCAUUUCUUUAUUAUUAUAAAAGCAUCGCAUAGAUACCAUGUAACUGGAAUAUCCAACAGAAUAUUUUUUUUUCAAUAAUAUGGUUUUCAAAUAUGGUUUUCAGUUCAUGUAAAGAUUUCUUUACAGGUUUAUCAAGGACAUCACUAUACGUAUAUUUUUGUCCAUAUUUAAGGGAAAAAAUGUAGUGUAUAUUCAUUUAGAGUACACACUCAUGCUUUCUUUUGAUGGGGUACGGUUUGUAUUGGGGACGAAUCAUAUUGAAUAGUCUGGUACCCGGAGUCUAUUCUAUUCGUGUUCACAGUAUUCACAGCGGUAAAAACAAAAAUGGCUAGAGGAACCAAAUUGAAAGGAACAAGUUCUUAAUCAGCGAAGUACAUUACCCUUUAGUGGUCUCAGUAGUAGGUUUCGUACUCAUAAUUUCAUUCUUCUUGAUAUGGAAAUACGAUCACAUCCAGCAAAAGUUAAUAAUUGAUGAAUCAGAAGAAAACUGGUCAAACAUCGUAUUUAGUAAACUGGGGAAAUCCGAGAAAAAAGAUCCAACAGAGUCAUCAGGAAUUUUCUCCGAGAUAUGGCAUUCCAUUAUGGAUGAUUUUGAAUUUGUCAGAUUGUGCAUCUUUUGGAUUCAUUUCAAGAAAUGUGAAUCCUGUUGUUGCCAGAUUUACUCAAAUGGCUUGUGCAAUGCUUUUGAUAUUCAUUAUAACUAUUAGAUACUGUAGAUACAUUUUCUGGAAUACAGGAAAACAAAGUGCGAGUAAAUCUAAAAAGAAAAAUUCGCAAAUCUCCUGGAGUUUAUUAGCUCAGCAUAUAUCUAUAGAAAGUACAUGUAUUAUAAAGACGUUAGCCAUUUUGCCUAUGUUUAUUAGCAUACCCAUGGAUGUUCCAAGAACAAGUAGCCACCAAAAUUGCUCACAUGAAAGGUGGAAUUCCAAAGGAAUCAAACUUUGGGCAAGGCGGGCAAACGAUAGCGAGGCUGACUACGUCAACAUCGGCGCCAUUAUGGAAUGGCAAGACAAGGAUUUGCAAGGAAGCUGUGAACAAGACUCGAAAGAAACGAAUGCCAAGAAAAAAAUCGUUCGACAUCGAAGAUUCGUUUUCAGUGGAUACAGACAAUACUUCAAAUGAUUCCCAAUUCGGUUCAACCAACCACCGAGAGAAGUUCCAAUAAAACCAUCCUAUCUUCCAGUUUCCCGCCACGAACUCUGGACAACGAUGAAUAAAUCAGCGAACGGAUUCACCAGUAGAUUAAUGCGUACAAAACCCGCGAAAAUAUGAUGACUACUCUAAGGCUGUCGAGCCCGAUUGGAGGUUGUUCUUUCGUAUGUACGAAAAGUAUGGACGAAAACGAUUCGAAUUCGGACACAGGCCUUGGCCCCAUGCAUAGUGACAAAUCUCCUUACUUAUUGGAAACCCUUGUCUAACGAUAUACAUUGAAGUCACCGUUUGUGUUCAAAUUUUAUACCCUAUAUUAUUUUGACAAUAUUUGUGGAUACUAUUUGAAUGAAUAAGUAUUAAA